UACGAAGGGGGGCUAGCGUUGUUCGGAAUUACUGGGCGUAAAGCGCACGUAGGCGGAUCGAUCAGUCAGGGGUGAAAUCCCAGAGCUCAACUCUGGAACUGCCUUUGAUACUGUCGAUCUGGAGUAUGGAAGAGGUGAGUGGAAUUCCGAGUGUAGAGGUGAAAUUCGUAGAUAUUCGGAGGAACACCAGUGGCGAAGGCGGCUCACUGGUCCAUUACUGACGCUGAGGUGCGAAAGCGUGGGGAGCAAACAGG
rnacentral:rRNA from 1 species